rnacentral:tRNA from 1 species
GGAGGAGUCGGAUAGUGGUUCAUUCCGAGAGUUCGCUAAACUCUUGAGCCUGUAAAGGCUCGCGCAGGUUCGAAUCCUGUCUCCUCCG